rnacentral:lncRNA from 1 species
CAAAAUAGUACAGAUGCUGUUAAAAGCCUGAAUUAACCCACUAAAAAUGAAAUCUGUGAUACGGAAGACAGGACCAUGAAGCACUCUACAGAAAGAGGAAAAUGACAAAGAGAUUAAACUGACUAUGGGCAGAAAACUGACAAAGGAAACCUAACCAGUGCACAAGACGACAAAUGGAAGAAAAUAAAUUAUCAAAGGUGCCCUAACAACACUGAAACAAACCCAACAAUUAUUUGCAGUGGCCAAGGAAAUAAACAUACAACCUUGAGGCUUUGAACUUCAACUUCCACACCAAUACAAGCUACAAAUCAUGAGUGAGGACCAAAUGAUGUUGUCAGUUACGUGGGAACCAGGGGUCAUUCUUCCGUGAAUUCAGAGUCAGCACUGAAGGAAGAUGGCUUGACAACCAAGACCAACGGAAAGCCACAUGGCAGUGAGACAGCCUCUCUGGAAAGCCAGCAUCUGCCGUGGAGCAGUUGGUUCCACAUAAACAGGAAAUUUGAAGCCCCAAAUAUUUUGAUUCAGCCUUGUUUAAAAUUAUUGGUGAGACUGUAUGUUAAGAGGCUAAACAGUAUGAAGCUAGAUGCAUGUGGGCAGAAAAUAAUUGUUGAUACAACCUUUUGUUUGAAAAACGGAGAAGUUGAAAAUUUUACCUAGAGAAAUGAAAGAUUGAGCCAGGAAGGUGGAGUCUACUUAACUUAGACUUAGUUUGUCACCAGGAAAAUUGAGUUUUAUCUAGUCACUUUACCAAAAACGUUCCCAGUGAAUAGCAAAUAAUCAUCUCCAAGGAACUCUGAUCUGUGACCUGUGACCUAUGAUCUAGGCCUAUUUAGGUUUAUGUUAGAAACUGGA